rnacentral:rRNA from 1 species
UGGGGAAUUUUGGACAAUGGGCGCAAGCCUGAUCCAGCAAUGCCGCGUGCAGGAUGAAGGCCUUCGGGUUGUAAACUGCUUUUGUACGGAGCGGAAAGGUCUGCCCUAAUACGGUGGGCUCUUGACGGUACCGUAAGAAUAAGCACCGGCUAACUACGUGCCAGCAGCCGCGGUAAUACGUAGGGUGCGAGCGUUAAUCGGAAUUACUGGGCGUAAAGCGUGCGCAGGCGGUUAUAUAAGACAGACGUGAAAUCCCUGGGCUCAACCUGGGGCCUGCAUUUGUGACUGUAUAGCUAGAGUACGGUAGAGGGAGAUGGAAUUCCGCGUGUAGCAGUGAAAUGCGUAGAUAUGCGGAGGAACACCGGUGGCGAAGGCAAUCCCCUGGACCUGUACCGACGCUCAUGCACGAAAGCGUGGGGAGCAAAC